UAUAUUUUCGAAUAAGGCCGUAACGUAACAAAAUGUGGGGAAAAGUCAAGGGGUCUGAACACUUUCCAAAUGCUCUGUAUAUAUUUAUAGAAACAAUGUGAACAAAUGCUCUGAAUAUAAGGAACGUAACAAUACAUUAUGUAGAUGUAUAUAAUGAACAGACUAGGUCUAUACUGCUCCUACAUGGUGUAACAAUACAUCAUGUAUAUAAUGAACAGACUAGGUCUAUACUGCUCCUACAUGGUGUAACAAUACAUCAUGUAUAUAAUGAACAGACUAGGUCUAUACUGCUCCUACAUGGUGUAACAAUACAUCAUGUAGAUGUAUAUAAUGAACAGACUAGGUCUAUACUGCUCCUACAUGGUGUAACAAUACAUCAUGUAGAUGUAUAUAAUGAACAGACUAGGUCUAUACUGCUCCUGCAUGGUGUAACAAUACAUCAUGUAGAUGUAUAUAAUGAACAGACUAGGUCUAUACUGCUCCUACAUGGUGUAACAAUACAUCAUGUAGAUGUAUAUAAUGAACAGACUAGGUCUAUACUGCUCCUACAUGGUGUAACAAUACAUCAUGUAUAUAAUGAACAGACUAGGUCUAUACUGCUCCUACAUGGUGUAACAAUACAUCAUGUAGAUGUAUAUAAUGAACAGACUAGGUCUAUACUGCUCCUACAUGGUGUAACAAUACAUCAUGUAUAUAAUGAACAGACUAGGUCUAU